AUUGAACGCUGGCGGCAGGCCUAACACAUGCAAGUCGAGCGAGCGGCGGACGGGUGAGUAAUGUAUGGGGACUGCCCGAUAGAGGGGGAUAACUACUGGAAACGGUAGCUAAUACCGCACAUCACCGGAUAACCCAUAUGGGAUUAGCUAGUAGGGGGGGUAAUGGCUCACCUAGGCGACGAUCCCGAGCUGGUCUGAGAGGAGGAUCAGCCACACUGGGACUGAGACACGGUCCAGACUCCUACGGAGGCAGCAGUGGGGAAUAUUGCACAAUGGGCGCAAGCCUGAUGCAGCCAUGCCGCGUGUAGGAAGAAGGCCCUAGGGUUGUAAAGUACUUUCAGUCGGGAGGCGUUACCGGCAGAAGAAGCACCGGCUAACUCCGUGCCAGCAGCCGCGGUAAUAC
rnacentral:rRNA from 1 species